UGGCUCAGCUGGGAGAGCACCUCCCUUACAAGGAGGGGGUCGGCGGUUCGAUCCCGU
rnacentral:tRNA from 1 species